AGAACGAACGCUGGCGGCAUGCCUGACACAUGCAAGUCGAACGAGACCUUCGGGUCUAGUGGCGCACGGGUGCGUAACGCGUGGGAAUCUGCCCUUGGGUUCGGGAUAACAGUUGGAAACGACUGCUAAUACCGGAUGAUGACUUCGGUCCAAAGAUUUAUCGCCCAGGGAUGAGCCCGCGUAGGAUUAGCUAGUUGGUGAGGUAAAGGCUCACCAAGGCGACGAUCCUUAGCUGGUCUGAGAGGAUGAUCAGCCACACUGGGACUGAGACACGGCCCAGACUCCUACGGGAGGCAGCAGUGGGGAAUAUUGGACAAUGGGCGAAAGCCUGAUCCAGCAAUGCCGCGUGAGUGAUGAAGGCCUUAGGGUGUAAAGCUCUUUACCGGAUGAUAAUGACAGUACCGGAGAAUAAGCCCCGGACUAACUCCGUGCCAGCAGCCGC
rnacentral:rRNA from 1 species